rnacentral:rRNA from 1 species
GACGAACGCUGGCGGCGUGCUUAACACAUGCAAGUCGAACGGUGAAGCGCCUUCCUUUUUGGUGGGUGUGGAUGAGUGGUGAACGGGUGAGUAACACGUGAGUAACCUGCCCCCUUCUUCUGGAUAACCGCAUGAAAGUGUGGCUAAUACGGGAUAUUCUGUGUCUGUCGCAUGAUGGGUCUGGGAAAGAUAUUGUUUCGGUGGGGGAUGGGCUCGCGGCCUAUCAGCUUGUUGGUGGGGUGAUGGCCUACCAAGGCGGUGACGGGUAGCCGGCCUGAGAGGGUGGACGGUCACACUGGGACUGAGACACGGCCCAGACUCCUACGGGAGGCAGCAGUGGGGAAUAUUGCACAAUGGGCGCAAGCCUGAUGCAGCGACGCCGCGUGAGGGAUGGAGGCCUUCGGGUUGUGAACCUCUUUCGCCAGUGAAGCAGGCCUGCCUCGUUUGUGGGUGGGUUGACGGUAGCUGGAUAAGAAGCGCCGGCUAACUACGUG